GACGAACGCUGGCGGCGUGCUUAACACAUGCAAGUCGAACGGAAAGGCCCUGCUUUUGUGGGGUGCUCGAGUGGCGAACGGGUGAGUAACACGUGAGUAACCUGCCCUUGACUUUGGGAUAACUUCAGGAAACUGGGGCUAAUACCGGAUAGGAGCUCCUGCUGCAUGGUGGGGGUUGGAAAGUUUCGGCGGUUGGGAUGGACUCGCGGCUUAUCAGCUUGUUGGUGGGGUAGUGGCUUACCAAGGCUUUGACGGGUAGCCGGCCUGAGAGGGUGACCGGCCACAUUGGGACUGAGAUACGGCCCAGACUCCUACGGGAGGCAGCAGUGGGGAAUAUUGCACAAUGGGCGGAAGCCUGAUGCAGCAACGCCGCGUGCGGGAUGACGGCCUUCGGGUUGUAAACCGCUUUCGCCUGUGACGAAGCGUGAGUGACGGUAAUGGGUAAAGAAGCACCGGCUAACUACGU
rnacentral:rRNA from 1 species